UGCCGCGUGAGUGAAGAAGCCUCGGGUUGUAAAGCUCUUUCAGAGGGGAUGAUGAUACGGUACCCUCAGAAGAAGCACCGGCUAACUUCGUGCCAGCAGCCGCGGUAAUACGAAGGGUGCAAGCGUUGUUCGGAAUUACUGGGCGUAAAGAGCGCGUAGGCGGCUUAUCAAGUCAGGCGUGAAAUCCCUGGGCUCAACCCGGGAAUUGCGUUUGAAACUGGUAAGCUUGAGUGUCAGAGGGGUGAGUGGAAUUCCUAGUGUAGAGGUGAAAUUCGUAGAUAUUAGGAGGAACACCAGUGGCGAAGGCGACUCACUGGCUGAAUACUGACGCUAAGGCGCGAAAGCGUGGGGAGCAAACAGGAUUAGAUACCCUGGUAGUCCACGCCCUAAACGAUGAGUGCUAGAUGUCGGAAUUAUUCGGUAUCACAGCUAACGCAUUAAGCACUCCGACUGGGGAGUACGGUCGCAAGAUUAAAACUUCAAAGGAAUUGACGGGGGCCCGCACAAGCGGUGGAGCAUGUGGUUUCAUU
rnacentral:rRNA from 1 species